UGGGGAGUUUGGUGUUGCACGCCAGUUCUGAAAUUCAUUACGCCUUCUACAACUCAAACUGGAUAAACUAUUCUCUGGAGUACAAGAAAUUUCUUUGUUUUAUUCUAAUUAAAACAUCAAAGCCCAUCAUAUUUAGGGCCAUGAAUUUUUUCCAACUAACCAUUGCAACUUAUCUUACUAUUAUUAAAAGUGCUUUUUCCUGCUUCACCUUGCUCACUGACAUCUAAUUAAUUAUUGAAACGACUCAGUUAAAAAUUAGAACUUAACUAGCAUGAAAAAUACACGCCUGCUUUGUUAAUAAAUUAGUUAAAACAAUAUUUAAUCCAAUUUAAUAAGUGUAUUGGAAAUAUUUCAGUUUCUAUUACUUUUUCUAUUAAUUGACUUUUCUUGCCCUACUUUCUACGCCACUGAAUAUUUUUUAAAACUAUAGAGCUUUUUAUAUUGUUUGAACAAUUUAGAAACUAAAGAUAGUCUUAAUUAAUUUUGAUUAACACAACCGUUGUUGAGAUAUUUCAGUUUAAAAUGUUUAUUUUAAUAUUCUUCUAACAUAUAAACUGAAACAUGGCUGUGUUAAUUAAAAUUAAUCAAUUAAUAUUAUUAUUAUAAUAAAGG